AAAAUACUCCCUCUGUCCAGAAAUACUUGUCGGACAAAUGCACAAAAAUGGAUGUAUCGAGAACUAAAAUACGUCUAGAUGCAUCUAUUUCUCCGACAAGUAUUUCCGGACGGAGGGAGUAUUAU
rfam:Triticum aestivum genome assembly, contig: Triticum_aestivum_CS42_TGACv1_scaffold_132049_2BL